UGUGAAGUCAGUUCCCAAGAGAGCUCUGUAUUUUUCACUUCUCACUUAGAUCUAAACUUGGAAACUUUUCUCAGAAGUUAAGUGUCCUUUGACCUCCUCUCUUCUGAAUUGCAGAAACCAGACCAGAUUUUGGUAUUUGGUAAAAUGACUUCUUGUGUUGCUGAAGAACCUAUUAAAAAGAUUGCCAUCUUCGGAGGGACUCAUGGAAAUGAACUGACUGGAGUGUUUCUAGUUACUCACUGGCUAAAGAAUGGCGCUGAAGUUCACAGAGCAGGGCUGGAAGUGAAGCCAUUCAUUACCAACCCAAGAGCGGUGGAGAAGUGCACCAGAUACAUUGACUGUGACCUGAACCGUGUUUUUGACCUUGAAAAUCUUAGGUAAGACUGUUCU
rnacentral:lncRNA from 1 species